GAGUGGCGCAGCAAAAACAUAGUGUGGAACCAUAACCAACCAUACGUAUGAAAGAUUUCUCUCGGGACUGACAAAGAGAAAUUGUUGAUGGAAUAAACAUGAGACUCAUGCCCUAAGACUGUACUCUUGGAUGAUCACACGAAAAUCAAGGAAGCCAAAAGAGUAUCAUACCUAGUCUUAGAAGAAUUAUACUUGACAUUUGGCUUCCUAUAAUAUGGGUUGUUACAGGUUUGGAGUUUUAAAUUAUUCUUAUUAAGUACUGAGUAUAUGUGGCUCACUUUUCUUUAUUAUUUUUAGAG
rnacentral:lncRNA from 1 species